rnacentral:misc_RNA from 1 species
UAACCCUCAAGCCUAGCUUGGUGAUGGGUCUUCGUCCCCUAGACGGGCCUGAAAAUUAGUGGCAAUACUCUCCAGCUUCAGGCAUAGUAAAUUUGUCUUGUCUUGACAGUUGGCUGGUGUGUUGGCCAAGUGAAUUCACUCUUAUUUU